rnacentral:siRNA from 1 species
AAAUAAGGAAUGCUUCUGAUUCAU